rnacentral:rRNA from 1 species
UACGUAGGGUGCAAGCGUUGUCCGGAAUUAUUGGGCGUAAAGCGCGUGUAGGCGGCCAGGCAAGUUGGGUGUGAAAGCCCUCGGCUUAACCGAGGAAGUGCGCCCAAAACUACUUGGCUUGAGUACCGGAGAGGAUGGCGGAAUUCCCGGUGUAGAGGUGAAAUUCGUAGAUAUCGGGAGGAACACCAGCGGCGAAGGCGGCCAUCUGGACGGAUACUGACGCUGAGACGCGAAAGCGUGGGGAGCAAACAGG